GACUGUAGUCUGCAACCCGACUACACGAAGCUGGAAUCGCUAGUAAUCGCGGAUCAGAAUGCCGCGGUGAAUACGUUCCCGGGUCUUGUACACACCGCCCGUCACACCAUGGGAGUCAGUAACGCCCGAAGUCAGUGACCUAACCGAAAGGGAGGAGCUGCCGAAGGCGGGACGGAUGACUGGGGUGAAGUCGUAACAAGGUAUC
rnacentral:rRNA from 1 species